UUUUUGCACUCUUUUAAAAAAUUCAAAGGUAUUUUUGAAAUUUUCAAAAAUUUCAGGAUUUUUUUUUUAAAAAAUAAUAAUUUAGCAUAAAGGAAAAAAAGGUCACAGCCAAAGUAAGCACGUACGGUUACUGACACACUUGACACGUGUGAUCGUGGCAGUCGCGGAAGCGCUGGCCACUAUCGGGUUCAUUUGCCAGAAUCCCUCGAAACUGAAAUCUCUCCUGCAAGCUGCCGGAACUUCCAUGAUUUCUCCAUUAAUCUUCGGUUCUUCGUAGGGUUGCUUGUGCCUUUUCUUCUUUCUUUUCCUAUCAAUGUUUUGUUUUGUGGCGAAAAUUUCUUCAAUGUCGUUUGUAUCAGCAAUAUAUUUCCCUAAUCCCUAUUGACUGGAGCCUGUUCAUGCCAUUUGAUGAUGGAGACGGAGUCUCGCCGGGAGAUGGUGACCGCCAGGCGGCCUUGCUUCUAUACUUUCUAUUCCUCUACUCUCUCUUCAGAACGACUGAAACUUCCUUUGAAAUUUGUCAAACACUUGGAAGAAAUAAUAGGCCGAUCAGUUGCGUUAAUUGGUCCUAGCGGCCAAACUUGGCUUGUUAACUUGAUCCAGGAGAAUGAUAACUUGUUCUUCUGUGACGGAUGGCCAACUUUUGCACGAGAUCACACCUUAGAAUGUGGUGACUUUUUGGUUUUUAGAUACGAUAGUGAGUUGCACUUCAAUGUGCAAGUUUUUGAUCAGAGUGCAUGUGAGAAAGAAGGUGCAUUUCAUUCUCAAUGCAGUCAAGAUAACACAGGCUAUAAAAGGGACAGGGAGGAAGACCAUUCAUCCCCAGAGACGUGCGAGGAAGCCGUGGCAAAGAAAAUGAGGAGCAUUUCUGAUGUUCAUUCAGAAUGCAUUAAGGAGAACCUAGCAGCAAUAAGAACUGCUGAGGACCAUAAAAGUGUAGCUGGUCAGAAUGGGAUCGGUAAAGUUGAUGACAUAACUACGCAUGAUAAAAUUCUGGCCUUACCACUGUCAUUUCAGGAUGAAAAGAAAGUUUCCCAGUCCUUUAGCUCCAAUUUUCCAUAUUUUGUGAGAAUCAUGAAAAGCUUUAAUGUUUGUGGUUCGUACACAUUGAAUAUCCCUUAUCAAUUUUCAAUGGCACAUCUUCCUAGCUGCAAAUUAAAGUUAGUCCUUCACAAUUUGAAAGGGGAAUCCUGGACAGUGAAUUCUGUUCCUACAACGAGAGUGCAUACAAGUCACACUCUCUGUGGAGGAUGGAUGGCCUUUGUGCGUGGGAAUGACAUCAACAUGGGAGAUAUAUGUGUUUUUGAACUUGUCCGGGAUUGUGAAUUGCGUGUUCACAUCUUCAGGGUUGGAAAGGAAAUAACUGAGGAUCAGAGUGGAAAAGGAACUUUAAAUAGACUAGGUGCUGGCCAUGCAGUAAUUCCUCGUAAAGCUGUCAAGGGUUUGCCAAAGAAAAUGAAUGGUAACUCCCAUAAAGUUCAUUCAAAACGCUCCAAAAGGAUCGAAAUACCUGAUAAAAAGUGUUCGAACUCUCGGCAAGAACCUUUCUGCAAUGAUGCUAGGAAACAUUCUAGUGCCAAAAUGGUCUCUACUAAAGUCAUGGCUUGUUCUCAGUCAAAAAAACCGUCUAAACGUUUGGUUAAUCGGAGAACCAGUGUCAAAGGUGAUCUUGUAUUACCAGCUAGACUUGGUUUGCGAGCAAUGUUGGCACGUGACGAAGAAAGGGCAGCUAAAUCGUUUGUUUCUUGUUUUCCAAGUUUUGUCAGAAUUAUGAAAAAGUUCAACACAAGUGGUUCAUAUACUCUGAAAAUUCCGCAUCGGUUUUCUUCAGCACAUUUCCCCAACAGCAGAACUGAGAUUAUACUGCGCAGUUCAAAUGGGGGAUGUUGGAUUGUGAACUCAGUACCAGACUCAAUGGGGCGAAUGAUGCAUACUUUUUGCGGUGGUUGGAUGUCGUUCGUUCGUGACAAUGGUAUCCAGAUGGGGGAUGUCUGCAUAUUCGAACUUGUCGGCAAGUGUGAAUUGUUUGUACAUAUAACUGGAGUCGGGAAGAAAGGGUUUGACCUCAGCAGUGAAGUCGCAACUUCUAGUGAAUUAGCUAUUGUACCAAUGACAAGCAAUCAUCCUUCUGUGAAUUAGCUAUUGUAAGAUUUCCUCAGCCCUUCGGAUUCUUUGGUAGCUUUCAUCGUCGGAUUCUAUGGUAGCUUUCAUCGUCGGAUUCUAUCCACAUUUCUUCUUCCUUCAAUGGUUUCUUCAACCCUUCAUUCAAUAUCAAUGACACUAUUUCGUAUCUUUGUAUGAUUUGAUGGAGAUUGGGAUGAGUCCGGAAGAAAUUAUGUUGGUGGUCAUAUGAAAGAUCUGAAAGUCAGAAAUGAUAUAACAGUCCGUGAAUUAGUGAGUAUGAUGCACCAAUGACUGAUUAUCGAUCUGGAUAUGUUUGAUAUACACAUCAAAUGUUGCUACAACCUGUUGGUCCCAGCUCUCCAAAUUGACUACUCGACGAUGAAGAUCUUAGCUUCUUUUUAGAAGGCAGUGAGACAUCCUAGAUGCCAUUAUUUAUAUCAGUUACACCUGCUAACAGUCAUGGAGUACAACAUUGCAAUCCAACUAAUCAACCCAAUCUAAUGCAUACCAUGUCUUCAAUUGAUGAUCAUAUUGAGCCAUGUAACUUGGGGGAUGACUGAAGUGAAGCUUGGUUUGGUCGGAACAGUGAACCUAGAUGUACUUCACAAUUCAAUACUGAACAUGGAUAUGGAUAAACUUCUUCAACACCUAACAUCCAUGUUCCAACCCCACCUGCUCCCGUUCCAUCGGUUGUGAUGCUUUCGGUUCUUAUGCAUUCCACCCGAACCAUUUGUUGAUAUACCUGGACCAUCAGAGGGUCUAUCGUAUGACAACCUCGUCACAAUACCUCAUGACUAGGUUUACAGUUGAGUGUGUGCUUGUUGCUUACGCCGAACCAAUGUUCCCAGUCGGACACAGUCAAGAAUGGGAUGGAGAUUGAACUAAUUCUACCACCGCAAAAGGUAGUAAGUGUAGGUCGAUGUCAAAUCGUCAAGAUACCUUCAAUUGGAGAGGAGCCAUGACAAAUACACGAGUGUACACGAUGUGAUCAGACAGGACAUUACAAGAAAACGUGCAGACAAACGUUGAUAACACCUGGCACUGGCCCAUCUAGCUAAACAAUAUGUAAUUUUCGCUUUCGCUUCAAAUUUUCUGUACAAUCCCAAUUAUAUUCUGUACAACACCAAUUAUUCUGUACAAAUUCACUAUACAAUAUGUAAUUUUAGCACCAAUUAUAUUCUGUACAACACCAAUUGUAUUGU